GACGAACGCUGGCGGCGUGCUUAACACAUGCAAGUCGAGCGGUAAGGCCCUUUCGGGGGUACGACGAGCGGCGAGCGGGUGAGUAACACGUGGGUGACCUGCCCUCAGCUCUGGGAGUAAAGCCUGGGAAACGUGGGUCGUAAUACUGGAUAUGACUCCACGGUGCAUGUCGUGGGGUGGAAAGCCUUGUGCGGCUGAGGAUGGGCCCGCGGCCUAUCAGCUUGUUGGUGGGGUGAUGGCCUACCAAGGCGACGACGGGUAGCCGGCCUGAGAGGGCGACCGGCCACACUGGGACUUA
rnacentral:rRNA from 1 species